rnacentral:rRNA from 1 species
GACGAACGCUGGCGGCGUGCUUAACACAUGCAAGUCGAACGGUAAGGCCCUUCGGGGUACACGAGUGGCGAACGGGUGAGUAACACGUGGGUGAUCUGCCCUGCACUUCGGGAUAAGCCUGGGAAACUGGGUCUAAUACCGGAUAGGACUCCGGACUGCAUGGUCUGGGGUGGAAAGCUUUUGCGGUGUGGGAUGGGCCCGCGGCCUAUCAGCUUGUUGGUGGGGUGAUGGCCUACCAAGGCGAUGACGGGUAGCCGGCCUGGGAGGGUGACCGGCCACAAUGGGACUGGGAUACGGCCCAGACUCGUACGGGAGGCAGCAGUGGGGAAUAUUGCACAAUGGGCGCAAGCCUGAUGCAGCGACGCCGCGUGAGGGAUGACGGCCUUCGGGUUGUAAACCUCUUUCAGCAUCGACGAAGCGAAAGUGACGGUAGGUGCAGAAGAAGGACCGGCCAACUACGUGCCAGCAGCCGCCGUAA